GAAGGCUGCGAACCCAGGCCAGGGUUGUGGGAGUAGGGCUCUUUGUCCGGUCCCGUCAGUUCAAUUGAUAUGCUAAUCUCUUUUCUGAUGCGAUACAAAGAACACCUUUGCACUUUAAAAAGACUUUUGUGCCCUGGCUACAGAAGUUUAUUAUCCACUAAUUAGCAACAACUUCUGGCAAUGAGUUGGGUUUCGUUUUCAUAAGCUAGCUCUAACUAUGAGGUGUGCAGGGCAAUAAGAGGUUCGCAUUGCAGAGAAAGCCUCUUCUCCGGGGCUAGAAAGCAAUCAUUCGCACUGGUUGCUGGACUGAAGUAGGUGGGAGAGCCGGAUAGAGAGUUAAAGGUGUCCAAAUAUAAAGGCUCUUUUGGAAGGACUUUGCAGGACCCAACUCUGUUCCAUCCCCUGAGCUGCCUGGAGGCCAUGGCUGUAAUCUCCCUGUCGGUCUUGGGUGGAUGGGGAGUGAAAGUCGUGAGCAAAUGUUCUAGCGCUAGCCUCUGAUUCUUGAAUUUUCCUUGGCAGGUGUAUCUUAGGAUAGCGAACUAUGCAGAAGAGGCCCUAGGAAACGUGAGAUAAGCUCUUAUACACUCCUAAGGUCUUCCAAGAGCCCUGAAAGUUGAUAAGAAGCUAGUAUUGCCAGAGAUAGAGAAGGGAGAGGCUGGAUGAAGUGCCGGUGCUGGGUGGUCUGAAGUCGCUACCACACUGAGCCAUCUCUGCUGGCUAACCAAAGCUAAGCACCAGCACAACUUCCCCGCAGCGGGAUGCACUGAACACUCUGUGACCUUGCCCCUCCACAGGCUAGGCAAGUCCUUGAGGAUCUUUAACAAUCACAAAUCCCAGGUCAAUACACUGAAAACGGAUAGAAUGAACAUGAUCAGUGAAAAGAUAAGGGCAGAAGAAUGUACCUAGUGCCUCCCCAAACCAAAGACCUCUGCCCCAAGAGAAAUACCGACCUUGAGACCUGCUUUCUGGAUGGACUCCAACCAUAGCAAUGGUAUUUUGUCAAGUAAUUCGAGACCCCACUCAUCACUUUACAAACGUGUUAAACAAACACACAAGAAUGCAUCCUUUGUUUUAUUUCCUUUUUUUUUUUUCGUUUUGUUUUAGGUCUCCAAGUGACUCUGUAGAAAGCUUUACUGGAUAUUUCAAACAGACAAAGGUAACAGUUAUAGCCCAGUUCACUUAGCUCUAAGCUAAAGGUAAAACAUGGCCUAACUCAAAAGCCCAGAGUGACUUAGGAUAUCAGAGUGAACAUUUACAGACAGGAAGUGGUGGCAUAUUCUGUUUUGUUCCCAUUGGGUGGUACCGAAGAAGUUGCACCUCUCUGAUGUCCCAAUGUGAGGCUUCUUAAGUAGAGUUGUUAAAAUGAGAAGUUGGGGUAGGAGUUGACAGAAGACUUAGCAAAUUGCCGAAUUCAAAUAUGUUAAUGGUAUUGGGUCUAUAAUUUCCCAUAAGACAGAAGCACUAGGAACUAGAAAACACUGCUAAAUAUUUUCCUAGCAGUGGCCUUGUGUGGGAUGAAGUGAGUGAGAGAGGGAGAGAGAGCUUGCCAACCCCAGGCCACCUUCAUUGAGGAGGAACAAUGGCUUGGUCUGGGUUCUUUCUGAAAGAGAAACUGCAGGAAUGCAGAGUUGCUCUUUGUGCCCCAACCUACUUAAAGGAGUGGAAGCCACCACCACCCCCCAGCACCAAGCGGUAUUUUCCUUAUCAGGACCCCUCUGAGACUCAGCCAGUAUGAUAGCCACCAGCCCUGAAGUCCCAUAAGGUCCACUCUGUGGCUGGAAGAAACAUGAUCAAAACCUAUUGAACUCCCUUCAGCAACCGCAGAGCCCAGCUGAAAACAUUCUCCCAAGCAAGGCUUGUCCAUACAACUCCUCAACCUAGUGUCUGAUAGCAAAUUCUGAUCCCAUUUCAUAUUAAGACCAUACUUACUUUUUUAUUUAGCCCAUCAGAUUUUUCCCAAACGACUUAAUUUCCUCCCAAGGCAGAGGGUUGAUUUAAAAAAAUUAAGAAUAUUUUUAAGAAAAAUGUUUUUUUUAAUCAAAGAAAGCAAAGGCUCUGAUUUAGAGCAAUGAGCAAUGUUAUCAGCGUGACCUUGACAUAUAAGUGGGGAAGGGGCAUGUAGGUUUGAGUCCAGACCCUUGUCAUCAUGAGUAUCUGGGACUUUCUCCGUCCUGACUAAGAACACCGACAAGAGGAGGGAUUUGUUUUCAAAGGUUACCAUUAGCGGUUCACUCGCUGAGGUUGGGAAUUUCUUAGUUUUAUAUUUCGUGAAAUUCAUGAUUUAAUUAUACUCCUCAAACAAAUUAAGGGCAGGCCUUCUACACAAAUUGGAGGCAGCUAAAUGCUCUUUUGUGCCUGCAGCUCUCGGAUUGUUAAAGAGGCUGCUGAUGCAUGAGAAGAAGUGACUGAUUUAACUCAUUGGGAUGCAGGAAGCGACCUGCCCUCUUUUGAAAAAAAGUGAGAGAGAAAGAGAGAGAGAGAGAGAGAGAGAGAGAGAGAGAGAGAGAGAGCACUAGCUAUAGAAGAGCAAGAGGGUGAGUGACAGAGGAGAGGAGAGGAGAAGAGAGGAGAAGAGAAACACAAGGGGGUGUGUGUGUGCCAUACUCCCUCUUUGCGACAUUGAAAGCUUCUGAAUUUCAAGCAGUAAGUGGAAGGAGCUGCACACAGCAAUAUUCCUCUUUCCUUGGGCUGCGUGUGCAGAGCGUAGACAAUGAAAAUCUCCGCCCCCUCCCCCAUCCUCUCUAGUCUACAAGAUUUUUUUCUUUCCUUCACAACGAUCGAAGCUAUGUAAAAUCAAAUAUACAGAGAUGUACACACGUUUUUUCAAACCACAGACUAACAAACCAAAGGACCUGACCGCGGAUUAUCCAAGUGCGCACCUGCUGGAGAGCGCUCUGGGGGUCUCAGCACAAAACCAGCUCUUGAGCCCUUUGGCUUCCUUCAAGCGAGCGCAGUCCGUCCAUCCCUCCUGGCCCACCCAGCCGCAAGGGAUGCUGUGAAAAGAGCCGCUGUUUGCCGCCUCCUGCCCGCCGUCCAGAGGGCUCCGCCCGUAGAGGUCAACUCCCCUCAUUCUUCUUUCCAUCUUGCCCUCCCUCCGCCGAUCCCAGACUCGAAUCUUCUCCUGACUCCCGCCGCAGUCAGAGAGAGCGCAUCUGCUGCGUUGCCCUUAAAUCUACGCCCGGAGCGGGCUCAGACCCGAACUCUGCUCUUCAGAGCCGGAGGAAGCCCGAGCAAGCAGCCUUUACUCUCCGCAGUAAAAUCAUAGCCAGACCAGAUGGGCCCCAGCUCUCCCGGGACUCGGCAGGUGCUGUUGAGUUAAUUUUUCUGCAAUACAAAGAAGGAGGACCCGGUCGGCCUGGGAUUCUGAUCUUUUCCCAAAUUUUCCUAAUCAAAACCGGGCUAUCAAAGGCAUAUACGUGUGUUUGUCGGACAAACAAACACGCAUGAUUAUAUCCGCUUUUAUAUCUGCUAGAUUCCUUCUCUGACAGCAGGGAAUGAGUGACAAAGAUUUCUGCCGCAGAACACUCAUGGCGCGGUCCUUAAAGACUUGCCUUUUCUUACAAAUGUCUUAGGAAGGGAUUCGGGGCGAACCAACUCAGUUAAUUGCCUUCAGUAAAAUAACACGAUUGCGAAAUUAGAUCUGUACCAGAGGGGUAAUUAACUUCGAUCUAUGUCAUCAUUUGGAAACUAGAUUUAUAGACACACGUAUGGGUUUUAGGUGCACAGUAAAUGGCAUGCAGAUAUAUGCAUAAGUAUCGCAGACUCAUGCACCCUCUACUCUUCAACCACGCAGACUAAUUAAUGGCAACUCUGGCAGAUGUGGCAGUAGGAAAGCUGAGGUGGGAGUAUUGCUCUGAGUUAGAACUCUAGGAGUAGGGACUACAAGCCUCGAACUGCAAGGGAGGGCGAAGGGCAGAGAGAAAAGUAUAGUAGUUGCAGUGAGUCAGUUGCUUCUAGAUCAAGAUCAGAGACUCUGCUCUCCGUGUUCACAGCGGACCUUGAUUUAAUGUCAUACAAUUAAGGCACGCGGUGAAUGCCAAGAGCGGAGCCUACGGCUGCACUUGAAGGACAUCAGAGAGAUGUCAGAAAGGGUGGGGAGAAACAAUUGCAGACUUCUAGAAUGAACCCAUCCUGUGCGGCACACGGACCCCUCGCAUGAUUCAAAAUCAUUAGAAUGCAAGACAGUCAUGUUUUUUCAGCGAGAAUCCGGGAAAUCCGCAUGCAUAUCCCCAAGGGGAAUAUUAGAGGUUUCAUUGACAGCUGUCAGGAGAGUUGUAGUUCCCAUUGGUGAAAAUGGUCUAAGAGUCAGCAUUCAGAAAGCGCUGGCCUUUUCAAAAUAAAAUAGAUUGAGAUUGUUCACAAUUCUGAGUCGAAUUGGGAAAGCAAACGGAUGAGAAGGAUGUAGCAUUAAAGAAACCCCAGAUCACACUGCACAAGUAACCUCAAAUGGCUCAAUUAUGUGUAGAAAUAGGACCCCCACCCCAAGCUUAUCACUAUUCUCCCAUUCUCUACGCAGUCUCAUGGCAGCCUUGUCUGGCUUUUAAAGAUCAAGGCAAAGUGAUAAUACCCAAAUCAGUCAUUAUUAUCCAAUAAGAAGGAAAGGCCAAGCCAGAAACUCUAAGAUCUGGUAAAUUAAUUUAUUUGGAAGACCAUGAUGUAAGAGUUAGUUAAGGUAGGUUCACUCCCUAACCUUGAAGCUUAAGGAAACCACUGCUGAGAAAGAGCCUUGGCGGGAGUCUUUGUUCUGUGGUGGCCCAUCUGGCCUGGGAACAAAGGAGAGGAUGGAGAAGGACAUCCCAAAGUGGCCGCACCCUCUGCGCCUUGCUGACAGGACCAUCUUCCGUUUCCUCUUCUUCUUCCUCCUCCUUCCCUUCCCCCCUCCUUCCCCUCCCCCCUCCUCUUUCGGUAAUUCUGCAAGCAAGGCAAUAGAAUCAUAGAAUCAUUUCUUCUCUACCUUACCCCAAACCCCAGGGUAUUAGGUAAUUUACAAAUUAAAAACUUGAAAUAUGGAAAGAUAGUAAACAGCUAAACAGUAUUUUGCUGAAACCAUCCACUCUGACAAUCAGUUGAUUUGGCCUGAAACCUGAAUCUGAGUAGUUAAUAAAUAUACUAGAGUAAGAUUAAAUAUAUAUAUAUAUAUAUAUAUAUAUAUAUAUAUUUUCCUUAAAUCACCACCCUGAAAAGAGAAACACAACGAUUCUCAGUAGAGGAUCUUAUCUCAGAUGUGGUCACCAAAGAUACCUCUCAAAGGACUCUAGAGUGGGCAUCAAGACAUAUUAAAGAGGCUGUGGUUGAGAUUAACUUAGUAACCAAAGCAGACAGGAGUAAAACAGCCUGCAAACACUGUGUGGGCUGUCAGCAAAGGCUUUCUAUAGGCCUGACUUCCUUAGUAAGUUCUGAGGCCAAGACCCACAAAACAACAGGGUAACAGUGCUCAGAAGCUGGCAUUGAGCAUCAUUUCUAACAGGAAGCACUGCAGGUCUAAGAGGCCUGAUUCCCACACUGCAAAGAAAACCAUACUGCAGAGCCCAGGUCACUUGGGAAGCAGAAGAGCUUAUCAAAUCCCAUAUACUUAAGAUUUGCUUUAGGAUGUCUGGGUCAAAUGUAUCUGAACUAAUGCAUUCAAAAUAAAUUUAAAAUUCUCAGCAUUCUAACUUAAAUACCGAAAAUAUUGUAUAAACAUAAUAAAAUAUUAAAUUCUAUAGUUAGUUAUAUUUGCAAAGGAAAGAGAAAUAGGCAAUAAAUUGAUUUGAAUUUGCCGAGGGCCCAGGAAAGAAAAUAUUUCAUGUUUGAAUUUGUUUGUGGAUUCACAUCGUAAAUACUGUUAAGCAUUAGUCAUAGAUAAACUAAGAGAAAUUGUACAGACAGACAGUAGCAAUGAUUUUUAUCUAGGCCUGGAAAUGGUCCAUAUAGGAACAAUGGCCUAAAAGAUAUGUUUUUGUAGCAUUUAUUCUCUUACACCUGAAUGGUCGAAAUGUGGCCAAUAAUUCAGGAAAUAAAUGAGGUCAGAAACAAUAUCUUCCAGGAUCUAACUCCCUAAAGCCAUUAAAAAGGUGGAUUUUAUUUUUGUUUUCGGGUUUUAAAACUGUAAAUUAGGACCUUUAUAUUAACAAAAUUUAGGUUUGCAUUUUAUUUUACACAAUACCGGGAGAAACUCCACUGGGACAAGAGCACAAACACAAAAAAACAGAGUUAAGAUCCUCUUCUCUUGUGUGACUGAGAAAAACAAACAAACAAACAAACAAAAACCCACCAGAAAUGGGAAUGGGUUGAAGCACUGAAGUUUGUCACAGAUGCUCUUCCUUCCAGUAACCAUCUUGUUGUUGUACUGGUGGCCUCUUCUCACAGUGGCCUGAGUCCUUCACAAAGCAAAAGGGGUCUAAGGCUUCAAAACAGUCCUGUUUACAUUAGCAUAAUUCAUAUUACAUAAUGAGAGCACAGUAAUACUUCCCAACCUAAUCUUACUUGUUUACAACAGUCAUAAACUCUGGCUUCUGAAAGCUUAAUCAGUUAAAAAAUACAUUUUCUAAAUAGAAAUGAAAUAUGUAAUAUGAGAGAAUUUAAAAAGUAAGAAAGCAAAUACAGGAUUUAAUCAUCUGAUUGCUAAGAUUAAGUCCAGUGUGGUUCUUAAUUCAUAGUAGUUCUAUACUUUUAAAAUUAAUUAUUUUCAAUUUCUUUUAUAAAUAAUCAUCCAACUUAAUGUCCAUUACAAAAUUUUCCUGCUAUGAAAUUCUGUAAUAAGCAGUUUUCCAACAAAACAACCCAGGUGGACAAUUAGAGAGCUUUGGUGCAGAGAACCAUGGGAGUCCUCUGACAAUCACAACUUUCAUCUAGUGGUCUGAAAUUAGAGCUUCUCGGGAUAAUUUAGGAACAGCUUGACCCAUUGAGACACUCAGAGACAACCCUACUGGGAAAUAGUGUGUUUCCUUCCAGGGAGUAAGAUGCUAGCGCAGGGAACCGAAGCAUCUGGUGUCAACAACGCUAGAGCGCCCUCUGCUGUUCACAAAGAAAUAGCACUGUGGUUUCAGAAGCCAGAUGGUAAGAGUUUCAAUAAGGCCAGGCAGCAUUAAGCUCUUAGGAUCAUUUCAUCUGUGGAGUUUAAAAGCUUCCAUCAUAUUCUCCGUCCGAAAAGGCUACCCGAUCUUUAUCAGGACUGCUCCUGGGAUGGUUACCUUCUAUUCUAGAGGGAGCGAGAGGUCAUUGUUUGAAGCAGAUUGUCGAUUCUAUUGGUUGUAUUUCUAUGUCCCUUCUUUUAGCAGUUUUAUAAAAAAUAUGAAAUUGUAAAUCUGAGGGCAGAACCCUUCUUUUAGGCAACAGAAAAAGAAAUAUUUUUCUUCAGUUUUGUACAUAACUGGGAUUUUUGUGAAAUAAAAUAUUUGAAUUAGAAAAAAGGUACCAAGCACAAGGUGUGUACUUAUUUUUGCAGGAUGUUGAAACAAAAUGCCUUACAUAAAGAAUGACUGUGCUGCUUCUGUAUUGCUAUGAACUUCGAUUUUAAAGAUAGACUUUGACUAAGAAAGUGAGUUACAUUGCGGAAGAAGCUGGUGUUUGAGUCAAGUUAAUUUAUCCCAAAUUCCACCAUCUUCCUAGUAAACACUCACCUGGCAAAAAUGUCAGGAAGUAGAACAUUACAAGUAGAAACAUCAUGGAUGCAGAAAUGGAUGCGAUGUGUGCACACUUCUAGGUGAAGUCAUUUAUGUUUUUGGUAUGUAUGGAAAAAAAUCUAUUAUGAAGUAAAAAAGAGGCAUGUUGGAAAGUUCAAACAUUUUUGAAUUUUAUGUCUUACUGGGCUUAUAUUGAAUAAAAUAAUGUAUAACUGAAUUACUGUAACACCAUGUUAGAUGCUCCAGCCUAUCGUGAAGCAGACAUAUCUUUGCUAUAAAAACUGUGACUCGCUACAUCAGAGCUGGUGUAAUAAAAUGCCUCUAAUGAUGUAGUUGUUAAAUAAAUGUUCUAAAAUAAAGAUCAGUCUAUUUUGUGAUGUCAGAAUGAAAGAGAUGUUUAAUUUUUACUAGAUUUUAAAAUAAAGCUCAUAAAAAUAGCAAGCUAAAAUGAAAAAAGCUACUUGACUUUACAAUUUGUUUUGUGGGGGGGGUCAACUCUUGAUUAAAUGUUAAAUCAACUUAAAUAUUUAGCCAACCAUGUUAAAUUCCAUAUAACAUCAGUACAUCUGUCUUCUGAAAACUGGUUCUGUGUAGCAAGCAUUACCAAUUUGUAAGAGAAUAAAUGAAGAAAAGAAACCUGUUAUAAUUCCUAUAAUUUUUUCUAAGCAUUCCUUUGGAAAUAUGAGAUAUUUUAUCUUACAUAAUUUAAAUUUCUUCUUAAGUAAAUUCACAUUUCAUUCGGUAAAUAAAAAGCUCAGUAGCAUAAUUUUUAAUAUGUAUUAGAAGUUUGGAAACAGGUUCUAAUAAAAUAAAAUGUGUAAUACAAAUAAAAAACAUUUUUUCUCCUUUAAAAAACACCCAUUCACCAGAAAGUGGGCAAUGAGCAGGAUGUAAAGUGAAUUAAUAAUAAUAAUAAUAAUAAUAAUAAUAAUAAUAAUAAUUCACUCUACUAGAGAGAGAGAAAGAAAGAAAGAAAGGAAAAAGGGAAGAAAGGAAGAAAGGAAAGACAUUGAGACUGCUUCUCAGAGUGUGAUAGAUUUUCCUCAAGUUCAUAGCAAGAACCAGUAUUAACCUUUCAAAGGUGUAUAGAUGGGCUCUUAAACAUGUCCGUUAUAUUUGUGUAUCUGAACUGUGUCUGAAACGUGGUUAACUUCCUUUAGAGAUUUAGAAGUCAUGGAAACAUGCACUUCCACAGAAAUAAAUACGACCCAAAGAACAAACUACUAAUAUUUUUAAUUAAUGAUUCAUCACAAUAGUUAUGUGGUUUCAUUGUUAAAAGUAACAGGAAUUAAUACUUGUGGAACACACACGUCCCUACUUGUCGACUUAGAUAAGAAAGCCAAUUUACUUAGUACCCUCUGUAUCUUUUAUCCAGUAUCCAAACUCUCCUGUUGCUGCAUUUUCUAUUAGUUGCUGUUAAGUAUCAAUUCUAAUGCAGCCAUAUGACGAAGUAGGAAUUAAAAAUUCAAUGUUUUAAGAAUGAAUAAAAUAGGAUGUAAAGUUGAAAUUUAUUAAUGCAAAACAGCAGGUCCAUGACUGCAAACUGCAGAGAAAAUAUUCAUAUUUAAGGAUAAUGUUAGAAGUUAAAAGGCUUCCAUAUCAAAAGUAGAUGGUAAUGUGAAGGCCAAACAAUGUGAAUUAGUUAGGCUGCAAUUCAUGCGAGAAGAACUGACACCUGACUUCAGUUUUGCUUUAAUAAGCCAGGAGAAGACACCAGAGGAGUACAUGAAAACCUCAAGAUGACUAGACUGCACACAAAGGCUGUUCAUUUAUUGAACAUGCAGCAAUUUUGGUUGGCUUUAAAGGAAGUUUGAAAAUACAUUUGGGAAUCCAGUUAAGAAAUUCUUUGAUUAUUCAAUUUCUGUGAAUUUGAAAGGCAAAUUUAUGUCUUUAUUUCCUCUUUAUUAGUCAACUCGAAUUUAUUAGUUCUUAAAAUCUUACUUUAAAUGUAACUCUAUACAUAGUAUACAUUUUAGAAUAGGCUGAAUGAUAACAUGUUGAAUAAAAUAUUUUCUUCCUACCAAUUUCUUUACACUUCAAAUCAGAGAUAUGCUAAAAUUAAACAUAGUUAGGUAAAUUGUUCCUUACAGCUUUCUGCGUUCCUAGGCACAAUAUAUUUAGAAAGACAGGGGAAAUCGUUUAAAUUCAAUCCCAACACUUGCUUCCUGCAAGCUCAGGAUGCUGUGUUAGUGUAAAGAGUGAUGAAGUGGUAAUCAUAGAGACUCUAGCCCAAAGUCAAUCGAAAGGAAGUGCACAAUGCUCCCAUAAAAGCGUGAAGUGGGGAAAGAGACCUUGUAUAAAAGCUAUGUGGUCUUAUUCUGCCAUGCCUGGACAUCCUUGAUCUGCCUUGAUUCUCACUCUGCUUUCAGAAACAAGUUACAGCUUCUGUGUUAGUUAUCCUAAAACUAUCAGGUAGAGACGAGCUGCAAGGUCUCCAAGAAUACAGUCUUCAGCAUAUGACUCUUACGAGUUAAUGUAUUUAAACAAUAAUGAUUUCCAUGUUACAAAGGAGCAAUUUAUUUAUUCACUGAUAUCUAGAUCCUUUUGCAAAUGAUAGACAGUGUUCUACCACUAAGCUAUAUCACUCAGACGCAUGAGAAACUUAUUUUUACCUAGAUUUCAAUUCAAAGAAACAAGUAUUUAUAAAUGUCUUCUCUACCUCGGGAAGUUGUUCAAAAUGGAUAAGGAAAGGAACAUUGCGAUGCAUACGUAUCUAUGCUUUAGAUGCAGCUUGAAUCUGUCUUUUCUGCAAUUAUCUUACCAGACAACCGAUAUAAUUAAAUCAAAUGGGACAAGAGGACUAUUAAUAAGGAAUCAUUAAGAAUAUCUAAUAAAAUGGCAGGUUAUUCAUUCUACUCUGGCUAUUGUUAUUGCAAUAGCUUUAUACAUUAAUUAACAUUUUCUAAAACCACAAAUGCACUUUCUCAUAUGGAAAAUGGUCCUACACUAGCCUAUUUCUGCAUACCCUUGUCUCAUUUGCUUACCAUACUUAGUAUAGUAAGGAAUUAUAACAAUAGUCAACAGUAUUGAACACACCUAUCAGUCCUGGGUGUAAAAAGCAAUUGUAGACCACAGAACUUGAACUGAUUUUUAUUUUAAUGUCUCAGUCUGGUCAGAGUUGCAGAUUACAUAAGAUUUCUGAAAAUAAAGCACAGAUCUGUUAAUUCCCUUAUUUGGUAUUUGCUUUCUUGUGACAGGUCCCCCUUUUGGUAUGGAACCUUCCAUAAUAAAAGGAAGAGACGUGGUUUCUAUUGUGGUAGAGCUGGCAGGCUUUCUUAGCAUUAUAUCAUCCACUCUCCUGAACAAGAUGAUGUUUCUGAUUUAAAACCUUUUCUUUUAAGUAUCCCAAUUAGCAAUUGGAGGAAUGUGUUCAUGGUAAGGAACAAUUUGGCUUUCAAGAAUGAACAAAGUCAGUGUACAUACCUUGGCUUUCGAAGCCCCUUCCUUCCUUGUGUUUUCAUUAACACGGAACGCGUUUGCUAUUCCUUUCAGCACUGAAGAACAGCUGAGGAAAAUAGCAUCACGAUACAGCUCUGAUGCUGACUGUGAAAUCCUGACUUGUGUCUCAGCUGUGCUUUACCACUCGUGUUCAUUUCUGUACUUCUUCAAUGCACACAGUUGCUGCCUUCUCGGUAACGUUCUGAGUCAAGAGUCAUACCAAACUCAAUUUUUUGCUCUUCUCUCAGGUCACUUUAUUUGUAUUUAAUUUGAGGUGUGUAUGUGUGGUAUAUGCAUGUGUGUAUAGGUGUGCAUACUUGUACAUGCAUGUGUGAAACCCAUGUCAGAUUUACCGUCCUCCAUCUCACUUUUUAUGACAAGAUCUCCCAUAAACUGCAACUCACUAAUUGGAGAGAACAUAGGGAUUUUCUUGUCUCUGCCUCCCAGUGCUGAGAUCAUAGUUGCAUACAGUCACAUCCAACGUUUUACAUGUGUGUUGUAAAGUUAACCUCAGGUCCUUAUAUUUGCAAGGUAAGCACUUUUCCAGGGCCUCCAUCUGUAUUUUAUUUUAAUGAGCCAUUUCAUAAGUUGUCAAAAUUAUAUGUAUUUUAUAAUCUACUUUCACUUUAUAAUAUUGAUGGUAAUAAUAAUAAUAAUAACAAUAACAAUGUUUAGAUAUCAAAAAAGUAGAUGAAAAUAUGUAUAGUUUUAGGCCCAAGUACAUCUCCUGUCCUGAUCAAAGGAAGUACUAACAGUUCUUUACUUUUAUAAAAAUUAUCUUCUAUUUUUGUCAGGACACUAACCAUAUCAUCUUUUAGUUUGAUUGUAUUAACUAGCAAUGUGCUUUAGAAUUUUUAAUUUAGUUUCUAAAUUGUCAAUCACUAGAUUAAAAUUUAAUGAAUUCAUUACUUUAGUGUUUAAAAUAAGCAUUGAUGAUGAAUCUCUCAAAAGAUUAUCCCAAAAUAAUCUCCCAUAUGUCAUUUUAAACCUGUUUAAACCAUAUCUUUAACUGGGAAUUUUUAGAAGCUCAAGAAAACAUGAUCAUUUUUUUACCACUAUUGCUUAAAUGUUGGCCAUCAUCUUAGCCAAGUCUUUGAAAACGGUCAGAGCUUUCUGUUAGCCUUUCCAAGGUAAUGGCAUGGGCCAUGUAUAUCAAUGAGAUAAAACAUCUUUCCCCAAUAUUCUUAUUAUUUAAUCCAUCAAGUACCAUGAAGAUAGGAACUUCUUUAUUUCCAAGACUCUUGUGAUAUCUUAUAGUAAACUUUGUAAAUAAUUUUUUAAUGCUGAAAUCUGGUGUUCAGUAUUUUAAGCUGAACCCAUGCUUUAAUCAUUUGAGUAACUUCGAAUACUUUUCUUUCUGCUGAAUUUUGGUAUUUGUGUGAACUGAUUACUGGCUCUCCAGAUUGUACAAUUAAAGUCAGAACCAGGUUAAAAUGUGAGUUUUGAGGUUCACUCCUGAAGACUCACUUCAGCCUCCCUGAGACCUGUUAAAUAAGCACCAGAGCUAGUUCUGAAGAAAUUUCUCUAUGGGUUAAGAAAUUUCUGGUCAGUCUUGUUUUUGGCUUUCUAAACUAAAGGAAAUUAAUAAUUCCAGGAUAAUUAAUCUUAUUACUCACUAAGCAUGCCCUGAAAGAAUGGAUAUUUUGAGCAAGUGGUAGUCUAAACAUGAAAAGUGUAUCAAUCUAAGUUUUUCAAAAACAAAGGACAAAUUGAGGGUUAAAAGUGCAUUAGAAAAAAAUGUCUGUGCAAGACAAAAUGGUGAAGGAAAGAGUAGUUUAGGGGAGAUCUCAGAUUGCAAAAGUUUUAAUUUCCAAUAAAAAAAAGAGGCAAGGAGUUGUCGAUAUGCAAUGAACAGGCAUACAGGAUGUCACAGAGAGAAAAGUCCAUUGCUAUUAUCUGAGUCAGUUGAUAACUAAUUUGCCAAUAUUUAUUAAUUAUCAUAUAAAACUGAUUUUAUAUGAAUGAGAUCAGUAAAAGAAAUAGAAAAAUCAAGAAAUACAGAAUGAUUUGUGUUUCUGUCUAAAUGUUUUAGGGACAAGUGAGAUUAUGAUGCAGUAAUAAGUGAGCCCAAUAUUUAAUUGUUUGAAAGAACAAAGGUUUGUAUAUUGCUCAUUUUACAUGUCCACUGUAGGUCAGAAUGGCCUCAUUGAUAAAAGUAUCUACAGAACGUUAGCUGAGUGAGGCUUAUUGACCAUAAAUACCAUGAUUUUAAAUUAGGAUCUCCUAUAACUAAAAAAUAAAAAAGCAAAAGCUUCUACCCAGAAAAGAUAGAUAUUAUUUCAACUCUGAAGCAUUGGUUAAAAUUAGCUAUGUGAGACUGGCAUAAGUCAAAAUCCCGUGAUUAUCUGGAAGUUGACAGAUGCUGAUGAAGAAUGAUUUUACCAAAAUGAGGCUCUUGCAAGCAUUCUCGCUAUGUUAUAUAGAGGCUGACUGUUUCACCUUAGAGGGUGUUGGGAUUUAAGAUUCUUAUGUGACUGAAAUAGAACCUGAUUUCACAUGCUUUUUGCAUAUUUUGAAGGCAGUGAAUUGUGGCAGACAGGGCUUUAAACAAAGGAUCAUGAAAUCCCUUUAGGAUAAAAAUAGGCCUCCUUCUGAAUUUCUGUGUGAUUUUAAAACUCAACUGACCUUUCUGAGUCUCUGUUUUCUAUUUGAAAACUAAAAAGAAUCGAAUCAGAUAUUCAAGAUAUAUUCUAGGAUGGAAUCAAUCCUAAUACCAGUCACCUUAAUAACAAGAGAAUCACAGUAGGGUAUAGUAUAUAAUAAACUGCUGAAGGAAGCUGAUUUCUAUUUCUCAUAAGGAACUUGAGACUGCAGUUUUACACCUGGAUUCUCGGGCACAUUAGUUUCUCUCAAAGUGUUCCUAGGUAUUUUGAGAACAAGGGUAUUCUUGAAAUAUCUAGGGGAGCAUGCCCAAGACACAUAUUCUAGUUAUCCUUUAUAGGUUUAAUACUGAGACACACUCUCCCCAACUCCUUACUCCUUAGUCCUUACAGGGUUCAAACAGGACCAAAAAGCAUGGUGUAACCAACUCACAAAUCCCUCUUGGAUGCUAUAUAGAGAUGGCCACAUUUCAGUUCUCUGGAAUCACUCCCAAAAUGUUUCCUGCCUACCAAAAUAUUUCUCUUAGUCAGUGCUUCCUGCAAGAAACCUAGUCUAAGAUUUCAGAAUGAUAUUUGUUAAAUAAGAGGUAAUAGGAUCCAAGAGGAAGGAAUUAUAAUGGUUCAAACAUUAUCCAGUGUAUGAUUUCACUGCACAAUCAUUUUCUACUUCUCAAAAAUCAUAAAGGGCCAGGCACAAUGAUACACAUCUACAGUACCAGAACUUGGGAACCAGAGCCAGGAGGAUUACUCCGAAUUCAAGACACGCCUAGUACAUUGUAGUAAGUUCCACCUCACCAGUCCAAAAGCUAAAACAUAAGAAUGUCUGAAAAUAAGAGUGAGAAAAAGUCUUCCCAAGCUCUUCCUGCAUUGUCAAUUAUGUAAGCUAAAGUAACAAUCUGAUUUUAUGCAAAUAUGCAUCUAAUACAACCAGUGGCAACUAAGUGUAAAGACCCUCAGAAACAGCGAAGGUGUGGUCCUGUUUCCAACUCUGUGAUUGUAAUGAAAGAGAUGGAAAAACCCUAACGGAUAUCUAGAUUCUCACAGCGCUGCAGUGAGUUCUGUAUUCUCCAUCAUUAAUUUGAUAACUUCUGAUGUGCAAACAUGAGGAAAAGAGUAAACAAUAGAGAUCUCUAAAGUUAGUGAAUAAAGAAUAUAGUGCAUGUACAUAUUAGACAAAGAAGCACAUAAUGCACACAAAGUAGGGAAAAUGCUACAUGGUGUUGUCUGAAGAAAGCCGGCCACAUAAAUGAUUGCAUGCCACUGUGAGGCCAAUACUGCAGCUGAGUGACAAUGAGCACAUGCAAGCUACAGUAAGAAGUCACAGAAUUGAAGUACAUUUAGAUGGCGUACAAAAAAGACUUGUCACCCACAAAAAGGCUGAGAAGAAGGAACUAACACUAACUCCAUGUGCAUUAGUCAUGAUUUAAAUAUACACACACUGAAUUUAAUAAAUAAUUUUUCUCUCGCUGGUGAAGCAUUCUUAAUAAUGCUUUUAUUUAAUUCGGUCAGGAUGUGUUCUCAAUAAAUCAGAUGAUAAUCAGUAGACUUCAGAUAAAGCAGGUCUGGUUAGAAUGGUAUAUAUUCUCUGGCAUUUGGUACAUACAUAAUUAUAAAACGGUGUAAGUACUAUGCAGUACAAUGCAUGUGAAUACAUUACAAAUUUUACAAUGUUCUAGAGUCAAGAGAAAGUUGUCCUUGUCUCUGUUCUAAGAGUUCAAUACACAGUUUUUUUCUGAUGAAACUGGGUAUUUUGCUAAAAAAUUUUUUAGCAAUUGCUCAGAAUAAAUCAGUACCACAUGUACGAGCUAAACUGAAGGAGAUAAGAGCUCUUGAGAAUGAAUGAUGUUAGAGUUACUCAAGGGUUGCUGUUCAUGAUUAUAUAAUUGCAUAAAACAGCAGUAAUCCCAACACAAAAAUACUGUAAUAUUUUCAUUAUCUUUCUAUCCUAUAGAAUAUUAUACUUACUAUUUACAUGUUUAAGUCAAUGAUACAUGAAUCCAGCUCCUAAGUAAGUGAUGUCUAAUUUUACAUGAGUCUACCUGACAAGAAGUACGCAAUCAAACCAAUUACUUCAUCUGACAAUCAAACACCUCUACAAUGCAAUAACAUUCACAUAGUUUUGAAAUAUUUGCUCUUAUAUUUUUGUAUUUAUGUUAUUUUUAAUUGUAAUUCUAUUAUUGUAUUUAUAUAGACUUCAGCAGUUUCUCCAUCCAACAGAGGCUACUGAUGUGAUAAUGCUACAGUUUUCAGUUUUCUUUACUAUUGAUGUGCCUAUGGUUCCUAUGAAUCUCUUAUAAUCACAAUAACAUUAAAAUCAAGUUUCUUUGCCCUGAUAGUUCCCAGAAAAAUUUCACAGAAGUAGCUUCAAAGCCUCACAGCUGUACUAUGAUAUAUCUAUCAUUCUCUUCAUGUACAGAUGGAAAAUGGUGGCUCAAUGAAGUGGUAAGAGAUCCAAGGAGAGGAUGAAACAGUUUUCUACUUACCAAGAGGGAGUGGCACUGUUAGAAGGUAUGGACUUGUUGGAAGAAGUGUGUCACUGUGGGGGUGGACUUGGAGACCCUCCUCCUACCUGCCCGAGGAUGCACAGACUAUUCCUGGUUUCCUUCAGGCUGAAGAUGUAGAACUCAGCUCCUCCUGCACCGUGCUUGCCUGGAUGCUGCCGUGCUCCCUCUUGAUGAUAAUGAUCUGAACCUCUGAACCUGUAAGACAGCCCCAAUUAAAUGUUGUCCUUGAUAAAACUUACAUUGGUCAUGGUGUCUGUUCACAGCAAUAAGACCCUAACUAAGGCAUAAGUAUUCAUGGAUUUUAGAUGCCAGAUAAAACCCAGGAAGUCAAGAGGAUAGGAAAAACGUAGGAGAAAUGUUUUAAAGCAUUGUCAUAUUGCUUAUGCGGUGAAGAGCGUGUUUUGGUUUGGAUACAUUUGAGUAUCCCACACAGGUCCAUAUUUUCAAGGUUUGAUCUUAACUCUCACGGUGUUGAAAAGACAUAAUCUUUUCAAAGAUGGAGGCUAGAGUGGGAUAACUAGAUUAUUGGGUCACUGCUCUCAGGGAGAUGAAUCAGCUGUUGUCAUACAUUGAGUUAUGUCUCACAAUCGAAGGUUGUUAUUAAGUGACAGUCAGGAUCACUUGUCUCCAUUCCCCAUGAAACCAGGUCUCUUUCUCCCUAACCCCAAGCUACAAUCCAGCCAGGGUGACUAUCCCAAGAGGCCAACCUAAUAUAGUUCUUCCAUAUUGACUUUCAGCCUUCUAAAUUAUGAGUUAAGUAAGCCUUUUAUUCCAUAAGCUAUUUUAUAAAGAUAUGAUCCUCAAAUAUUAUAAAAUAGCAAUAGAAAAUGAAGUAAUACAAUUUUAUUGUAUGUCAGAGGAGAUAAAAGGGAGGUAAGAUAUUUCUGUAAUAGAAUUGCCAACAUAAUGGGCCAACAAGUAACCAAUUUGCCUACAUUAUAAACAAGUGUUGAUUACCAGUGGCAUAAAAGUUAGACUGUAGAAGUCCAAGGACUAUAUUUGGUUGUGAAUAGAAACAACAAAAUUUGUAAAUAAUCAGGAAAAAAUUUAAUGGAGUAGUCAUUUGGGAAAGUUAAUGAAAAGACCAAAUAAAACUGCUGAAAAAACAUGGUGGAGAGCAAAGAAGGGAGGAUGGAAUUUCAUAUCUGAUGGGAACUGUCUCUGUAGAACUGAAGGGAUGCUCAUAUGAGCAUCCUCAGAGAUAGGACAGACAGAAGUUGGAACAUUUAGGUUUGGGGGCAAAAACAGAGGAAAGAAGUUGAAGACAACUCUAGCUAAGAAGCCUAGAAAUGUGAGAAGUAUGAUAAAAUCAAUAGCAUAAUGAAAGGCAUAGGGGUGAAUGACCUUGGAAGAAACACACUCCUGAAAAGGCAUGUACCACAAACCUGUACACUAUUAUCAAAAACACACAUUGUACUAGGUCAAAGAAUCAGAACUCUGGAAGAUGUCUGUAAGAUUUAAACGCCAUUACCAUGCAUGCAGAACCCAUGACAUAGAGGCUCCCAUAAAGAAAGGUAAGAACUAUUUCAAUAUAUCCAUGGUUAAGCACCUCAACGUACUAGUUGAGUAUCACAGCAUACUCAGUCUAUUUAUUAAAAUUAUCUGAUUCUGUCUCUUUAAACAUUCUUAAUUUUUCUUUCUGGCUCUAUUCACUGAUCAACAAAACAUUCUCAUUUAUAAGAUAUUAUCUCUGUUAUUUCACAGUGGUUCAGAUCUUCAUUUUCCUUCUUUUAGAUAAACACUUACUAGUCUUUUGAUGCAUUUCCACAUGCAAAUUUCUUUACAGGUUGGCAUCUUGAUGAUUGAAUAAACUUGUUUAUAUCUUCUUCAAUAUGUUCAUAUACCUCAGACAUACCUAACCCACCACUGAGAAAAUCUUCAGUAUAUACUAUGUUCCUGUCUUGUUGUAGAGUUCACCUCCUAAAUGAACAUACAGUGAGCAUCAUUAUAGGGAUAAAAAUCUAUAUGUAAAAUUGAGUUUAGGGUUAUGAAAAGAUACCCCUUGAUUUAAAGUUUUUACUUGACUCAAGAGGGUCUUUCCUUAGUAUUUUAAAAGUGCUUUAUAGAUCAUUUCUAGUUCAGAGACUUUAGUUUGCGCACAAUCAGAAAAAGGCCUUUGAUGUUAUUCCAUCGUUACUGUACUAGACUGAAGCAUCUAUUACUCAAAGUCAUGCUGUCAUGGCUUUACCAGUACCAAGAAAUACAAUCUUUGAGAUUCAGUUUCUAAAAUGACACACAUGGACCCAGAUUGAAUAGAUCCUCUAAAUACUAUAUCUAGAUGUGGAUCAAUGAUAAAAAGCUGUCUAACAUCUAGAGGGCUCUGUGUUAAAAUAAUUAAAAAGAGAGCACUAUAUAAAAACACAACUUUAUAUUUGUUUCACAAUUAUAUGAUUUUAAUAACUUAUAUGAGGAACCGAGGAAAGAGCUGAAUGUCUUACAUGAGAUUAUAUAAGUGCAGAGAGAUUUCUGCACCAUGAGAAUGUAGUUGAUUUGGAGAGAAUCUCAAGAAGUCAAAGAAGAAAGUUAGGAAGAAAAACCUUUAGAAAAGUGAACUAUCAAAGUUGCUAUCCUAAUCAAUGGAGAUGUGUGUCUAUCAACACAUCUAGAAACUGUGCAGUGCCUUUUUUUAAUGGUCUCACAUAGGAGACUUGGCCGUAUGUUCUCUGCCCUUUGCACAAGUCAGUUAGACUCAUCAGGGGGAAAAAGAGAGCUCAAUGCAAAAAAAAAAAAAAAAAAAAAAAAAAAAAAAAAAAAAAAAAAAACAGGAAAUGGGAGUGGAGGGCACACAUGUGAGGAAGGUGCUGUCUUGGAUGCCCUAAGCUUGCAAAGAUGCCCAGCACAAAUAUGAACGAACUAAAAAACACAGCCACUGAGAUCUGCCAGGUGACUCCAGACCUUUGCUAUAUAUAUUCAUAGAAUUCACUAUACAUACAAACAAUUACCAGCAAUGGUUGUACCUAGGACUUCUCAACAUUACCAUGUUGAGAAAGCGAUAUCAACACAGAUAAAACUGUACUUUAGUUUUGAACUUUUAACUCAUUCAUAUAAAAGGGUGUUUGAAUAAAAUCUAUGUCUUUUCUUGAUAUUUUGAUUUUGUCAGCAAAUAUCUUUGUUGCUUUCUAGUCACCUGUGUGUUUUUCUGCACUUAGCCUAGUUAAGUAUUUAAGAUGCUAAAACAGACUUAUAAAAUUAAAAGAGCUGAAUGGAUUCCAUGGCUACUCACUACUUGGAGCUUUGUUAAACAAAUGAAUAAAAAGAUAUCUCACUUUUUGGUUU